rnacentral:tRNA from 1 species
AGCAGCAUGGCUCAGUGGAAAGAGCCCGGGCUUGGGAGUCCGAGAUUUUGGGUUCAAAUCCUGGCUCUGCCA